rnacentral:lncRNA from 1 species
UGCCCUACUGCCGGAUCUUGGAACUCCAACAAUGCUCUUUCCAACCGCACUGAUGCCUACGGCUGUUGCUGCUGCUGCUGCAUGGCCUGCACUACUUCGGUGAGGCCUCUGACCUGCUAAACCAGUAGGUUGAACUACUCCAUAUCGACCACCAUUGCUAGAGGAGGAGGAGGAGCAUGGGAAACUAGAGGCGAGGCUGGAGCCUGAGAUCUGGCCGUGGAGGUUGUGGAUUGCCUGGUGGAUGCCUUUCGGGGAGGCAUUAGGUGGAGAUCCAGUAGGAGAAGGAGAAGAGGAUGUCAGAGAAGAUGACUAGAGACAGUCCCAUUGAGCACUCCUUUAAGAAUAAGGGUACUGCAAAGACACAGCCGUCCUUCCUCUAGUGCCAAUUCUAUUGGUGCAGAAUUUUGUUGAAGCCGGAGUUGCUAGAGUUGAGAUGACCACGAUCACCGUCGGG